CUGUCAAGCGAUAAUGAUAUAGAGCAUGCGUGUCAAAUAAUUAGUUGUUUCUCUGCGAUAUUCGAUACGCGAUCCAGACUAUUUACUUUCCGAGAUUCGGAGUAAAGUUGGCUGCGCAUGCGUGGUGGCCGUUUGCCGAUCGCAUAGCAUAGUAUAAUAGGGUGGGUAACCGAAGCAAGCCGAGUGGAACCGAACAUAGUCGAACAUUCCGAACUACGAGUCGAAGCGCGGUCAAAGUCGCUCCUCAAUUUUCACAUUAUUCAUCCUUCAAAAGUAAGUUUUGCGUAUAAAUAACCAUCCAAAAUGUUAAAUAAACUAUCAAGCAAUAAUUAUAGAGUGCGUGUGUCAAAUAAUUAGUUGUUCUUUUGCAAUAUUCGAUCCGCGAUUAGACCAGUUGCUACAGUCUAGCGAGAUUCGAAGUAAAGUUGGCUGUGCAUGCAUGGCGGUUAUUUGCCGACCGCAGUCGCGCACAUUUAAUAAAUAUAUAUCAUCUAUAUUGUUUUAAUGAUAUCAUAGUAACAAUAUUCUAUUCGUGAUAUCGAUCGGAAUAUAAUGCUAUAUCGUGCUGAUUGUUAAGCUUUGCGUAUAAAAGUAAAGUCAAUUGUCUUCGUUAUUUCGCGGCGAGCAACCGUUAUUAAAGAUGAGUCGUGUAUAAAAUUAGCAUCGAAUGAAAUAAUGCAAAACAUAAUAAUUUUUAAACGUGGCAUCGUUGAAUUUAAUGCAUGUCGGGAAUAUAUAUCGUGAAUGCCGUUGAAAUUUCAUUAAACUGUGCGACGCGGCAUUUAUAUCUCGUGAUAUGCGUCGUGGAAUGCCGUGAAAGUCGCUGCGCGUCGCGAUGGUGUGAAAUCGCAUUUUUUCUUCCGUAAAAGUGCAGUGCGCGCAUAACGGAAAAUCCGUUAUCGGGAGUACCGAGUAAAGUGUCGCGCGAUAAUCGUGUGGAGUCGAUUGUUGUGCGCGAUAGUAAUUAAUUGUACUUUUAUUCGAAUACAUGUGAGAAAGCGAGUAUUCAUCGUGGAUUUGAAACUGCACAGUCCCGAGAGGAUCCCUUUAUAGAGGGGUUAAGACUGACAAAAAACUUUGGAGCUAUGUGGCAGUAAGCAGGCAGGUGUUGGCUUGUAAGCAGAUGUUUAUGAUCG